rnacentral:rRNA from 1 species
UACUCGAGUGGCGAACGGGUGAGUAACACGUGGGUGAUCUGCCCUGCACUUCGGGAUAAGCUUGGGUAAACUGGGUCUAAUACCGGAUAGGAACCAUCUUUAGUGUGGUGGUUGGAAAGUUUUUUCGGUGUAGGAUGAGCUCGCGGCCUAUCAGCUUGUUGGUGGGGUAAUGGCCUACCAAGGCGGCGACGGGUAGCCGGCCUGAGAGGGUGUACGGCCACAUUGGGACUGAGAUACGGCCCAG